UACGUAGGGUGCAAGCGUUAAUCGGAAUUACUGGGCGUAAAGCGUGCGCAGGCGGCUUUGCAAGACAGAUGUGAAAUCCCCGGGCUCAACCUGGGAACUGCAUUUGUGACUGCAUGGCUAGAGUGCGGCAGAGGGGAUGGAAUUCCGCGUGUAGCAGUGAAAUGCGUAGAUAUGCGGAGGAACACCGAUGGCGAAGGCAAUCCCCUGGGCCUGUACUGACGCUCA
rnacentral:rRNA from 1 species